GGGUUGUGAGGUUAAGCGACUAAGCGUACACGGUGGAUGCCCUGGCAGUCAGAGGCGAUGAAGGACGUGCUAAUCUGCGAUAAGCGUCGGUAAGGUGAUAUGAACCGUUAUAGCCGGCGAUUUCCGAAUGGGGAAACCCAGUGUGAUCCGUCACACUAUCAUUACGUGAAUACAUAGCGUAAUGAAGCGAACCGGGGGAACUGAAACAUCUAAGUACCCCGAGGAAAAGAAAUCAACCGAGAUUCCCCCAGUAGCGGCGAGCGAACGGGGAGCAGCCCAGAACCUGAAUCAGUUUGUGUGUUAGUGGAAGCGUCUGGAAAGUCGCAGGGUACAGGGUGAUACUCCCGUACACUAAAAUGCACAGGCUGUGAGUUCGAAGAGUAGGGCGGGACACGUGGUAUCCUGUCUGAAUAUGGGGGGACCAUCCUCCAAGGCUAAAUACUCCUGACUGACCGAUAGUGAACCAGUACCGUGAGGGAAAGGCGAAAAGAACCCCGGCGAGGGGAGUGAAAAAGAACCUGAAACCGUGUACGUACAAGCAGUGGGAGCCUCUUUAUGGGGUGACUGCGUACCUUUUGUAUAAUGGGUCAGCGACUUAUAUUCUGUAGCAAGGUUAACCGUAUAGGGGAGCCGCAGGGAAACCGAGUCUUAACUGGGCGUUAAGUUGCAGGGUAUAGACCCGAAACCCGGUGAUCUAGCCAUGGGCAGGUUGAAGGUUGGGUAACACUAACUGGAGGACCGAACCGACUAAUGUUGAAAAAUUAGCGGAUGACUUGUGGCUGGGGGUGAAAGGCCAAUCAAACCGGGAGAUAGCUGGUUCUCCCCGAAAGCUAUUUAGGUAGCGCCUCGUGAACUCAUCUUCGGGGGUAGAGCACUGUUUCGGCUAGGGGGCCAUCCCGGCUUACCAACCCGAUGCAAACUACGAAUACCGAAGAAUGUUAUCACGGGAGACACACGGCGGGUGCUAACGUCCGUCGUGAAGAGGGAAACAACCCAGACCGCCAGCUAAGGUCCCAAAGUCAUGGUUAAGUGGGAAACGAUGUGGGAAGGCACAGACAGCCAGGAUGUUGGCUUAGAAGCAGCCAUCAUUUAAAGAAAGCGUAAUAGCUCACUGGUCGAGUCGGCCUGCGCGGAAGAUGUAACGGGGCUAAACCAUGCACCGAAGCUGCGGCAGCGACACUAUGUGUUGUUGGGUAGGGGAGCGUUCUGUAAGCCGUUGAAGGUGAACUGUGAGGUUUGCUGGAGGUAUCAGAAGUGCGAAUGCUGACAUAAGUAACGAUAAAGCGGGUGAAAAGCCCGCUCGCCGGAAGACCAAGGGUUCCUGUCCAACGUUAAUCGGGGCAGGGUGAGUCGACCCCUAAGGCGAGGCCGAAAGGCGUAGUCGAUGGGAAACAGGUUAAUAUUCCUGUACUCGGUGUUACUGCGAAGGGGGGACGGAGAAGGCUAUGUUAGCCGGGCGACGGUUGUCCCGGUUUAAGCAUGUAGGCGGAGAGUUUAGGUAAAUCCGGACUCUUAUUAACGCUGAGGUGUGAUGACGAGGCACUACGGUGCUGAAGUAACAAAUGCCCUGCUUCCAGGAAAAGCCUCUAAGCAUCAGGUAACAUUGAAUCGUACCCCAAACCGACACAGGUGGUCAGGUAGAGAAUACCAAGGCGCUUGAGAGAACUCGGGUGAAGGAACUAGGCAAAAUGGUGCCGUAACUUCGGGAGAAGGCACGCUGUCGUUAGGUGAAACCCCUCGCGGGUGGAGCUGAAGGCAGUCGAAGAUACCAGCUGGCUGCAACUGUUUAUUAAAAACACAGCACUGUGCAAACACGAAAGUGGACGUAUACGGUGUGACGCCUGCCCGGUGCCGGAAGGUUAAUUGAUGGGGUUAUCCGCAAGGAGAAGCUCUUGAUCGAAGCCCCGGUAAACGGCGGCCGUAACUAUAACGGUCCUAAGGUAGCGAAAUUCCUUGUCGGGUAAGUUCCGACCUGCACGAAUGGCGUAAUGAUGGCCAGGCUGUCUCCACCCGAGACUCAGUGAAAUUGAAAUCGCUGUGAAGAUGCAGUGUACCCGCGGCAAGACGGAAAGACCCCGUGAACCUUUACUAUAGCUUGACACUGAACAUUGAGCCUUGAUGUGUAGGAUAGGUGGGAGGCUUUGAAGCGUGGACGCCAGUCUGCGUGGAGCCAACCUUGAAAUACCACCCUUUAAUGUUUGAUGUUCUAACGUAGACCCGUGAUCCGGGUUGCGGACAGUGUCUGGUGGGUAGUUUGACUGGGGCGGUCUCCUCCUAAAGCGUAACGGAGGAGCACGAAGGUUAGCUAAUCACGGUCGGACAUCGUGAGGUUAGUGCAAAGGCAUAAGCUAGCUUGACUGCGAGAGUGACGGCUCGAGCAGGUGCGAAAGCAGGUCUUAGUGAUCCGGUGGUUCUGAAUGGAAGGGCCAUCGCUCAACGGAUAAAAGGUACUCCGGGGAUAACAGGCUGAUACCGCCCAAGAGUUCAUAUCGACGGCGGUGUUUGGCACCUCGAUGUCGGCUCAUCACAUCCUGGGGCUGAAGUAGGUCCCAAGGGUAUGGCUGUUCGCCAUUUAAAGUGGUACGCGAGCUGGGUUUAGAACGUCGUGAGACAGUUCGGUCCCUAUCUGCCGUGGGCGCUGGAGAAUUGAGGGGGGCUGCUCCUAGUACGAGAGGACCGGAGUGGACGCAUCACUGGUGUUCGGGUUGUCAUGCCAAUGGCAUUGCCCGGUAGCUAAAUGCGGAAGAGAUAAGCGCUGAAAGCAUCUAAGCGCGAAACUUGCCCCGAGAUGAGUUCUCCCUGACUCCUUGAGAGUCCUGAAGGAACGUUGAAGACUACGACGUUGAUAGGCUGGGUGUGUAAGCGUAGCGAUACGUUGAGCUAACCAGUACUAAUGAUCCGUGAGGCUUAACCUUACAACACCGAAGGUGUUU
rnacentral:rRNA from 1 species